UACGGAGGGGGCGAGCGUUGUCCGGAAUCACUGGGCGUAAAGGGCGCGUAGGCGGCCUGAUAAGUAGGGGGUGAAAUCCUGCGGCUUAACCGCAGGGCUGCCUUCUAAACUGUCAGGCUUGAGCACAGUAGAGGCAGGUGGAAUUCCCGGUGUAGCGGUGGAAUGCGUAGAGAUCGGGAAGAACAUCAGUGGCGAAGGCGGCCUGCUGGGCUGUUGCUGACGCUGAGGCGCGACAGCGUGGGGAGCAAACAGG
rnacentral:rRNA from 1 species